CUGAACCUCAUGCACGAAAGCGUGAGGAGCAAACAAGAUUAGAUACCCUGGUAGUCCACGCCCUAAACGAUGUCAACUAGCUGUGGGGCCUUCGGGCCUUGGUAGCGCAGCUAACGCGUGAAGUUGACCGCCUGGGGAGUACGGUCGCAAGAUUAAAACUCAAAGGAUUGACGGGGACCCGCACAAGCGGUGGAUGAUGUGGAUUAAUUCGAUGCAACGCGAAAAACCUUACCUACCCUUGACAUGUCUGGAAUGCCGAAGAGAUUUGGCAGUGCUCGCAAGAGAACCGGAACACAGGUGCUGCAUGGCUGUCGUCAGCUCGUGUCGUGAGAUGUUGGGUUAAGUCCCGCAACGAGCGCAACCCUUGUCAUUAGUUGCUACGAAAGGGCACUCUAAUGAGACUGCCGGUGACAAACCGGAGGAAGGUGGGGAUGACGUCAAGUCCUCAUGGCCCUUAUGGGUAGGGCUUCACACGUCAUACAAUGGUCGGGACAGAGGGUCGCCAACCCGCGAGGGGGAGCUAAUCCCAGAAACCCGAUCGUAGUCCGGAUCGCAGUCUGCAACUCGACUGCGUGAAGUCGGAAUCGCUAGUAAUCGCGGAUCAGCAUGUCGCGGUGAAUACGUUCCCGGGUCUUGUACACACCGCCCGUCACACCAUGGGAGUGGGUUUUACCAGAAGUAGUUAGCCUAACCGCAAGGAGGGCGAUUACCACGGUAGGAUUCAUGACUGGGGUGAAGUCGUAACAAGGUAGCCGUAUCGGAAGGUGCGGCUGGAUCACCUCCUUCUAGACUGCAGAA
rnacentral:rRNA from 1 species